UAAAUGUUUUUCCAAAUCUCAUAUCCCAAACAAAACCUGUCAAGAAAUUAGGAAAACUAUAAAACUACUAUAAUUCUGCUACUACAAUUAAAAGAAGUAGAAAGUGGUUUGACAAAACCCAUUGAUGUCACAUUGAAAGCAAGAGCUGGGUGCACUAACACUCAGAGUUGGAGAAUAAGGCUGGACAUUUCUGGGAAGAGAUGUUGAUGAUCUAAUCACUCAGGUGUGCUCAUAGUUGUUGCUGUGUCAUAAGUGUGUUUUCAUGGUCCUGUCUGCUGCUAAUGCUCUUCAGUAUUCCACCAGGAUUCUGGACAAAGAACGGUUAAUCUGUGCCCGUUUGCAGACAGUCACCUGGGUUACUUUUCUCCGUUUCCUCUCUACUAACAGUAGCCUGGACAGUGAGUUCUGCAGUAAUGAGAUUUUCCUAGACAACCUGACUUGCUGGGUCUCUUCUUUAAAAAGAUGACAUCUAGAUUUAGAAAUGAGGGCAGCAUGUCAUUUCCUUGAAAAAGAAUAAGGAUCUGUACAGAGGUGCAACUGGGUGAUAACGCACAUAUUUCAAGAUAUAAUAUGUGUGUGUGAAUAUGCUUGACUAUUAGAACCAUAGUAUAAAAUAGUGAGAGGAAAUUAUAAAGAGAAUUUCUUUGGACUUGGUGUCAAGAGGUUCAUGUCCUGGCUCUAUAACUUAUAUCAUCCAUGUGACGUCAACACAUCUCAGUGCCAUGCAGGUGUGAAAUAACAAAGAAGCCAAACACUGGUGAAAGAAGUGAAAUUAAAAGAUUGAUUCAUCCAAAAAAGGCUCUGUGUUUUCAAGGUGGUGGUGCAUUCCAGUUUGAGGGCCCAAGCACUGAUCUACCAAUGAUCUUCACACCCUUAUCAUCACUAUACCAGCAUGAGAAGAAAAUUCGGGAUGGUCCAAAUGACAGACUCCAAAAUGAUUCUGGAUAUUAUGGGCUAAAUCUGUAACAAUAACACACA